UACAGAGGGGGCAAGCGUUGUUCGGAAUUACUGGGCGUAAAGGGCGCGUAGGCGGCCUGCUAAGUCGAACGUGAAAUCCCCGGGCUCAACCCGGGAACUGCGUCCGAUACUGGCAGGCUUGAAUUCGGGAGAGGGAUGUGGAAUUCCUGGUGUAGCGGUGAAAUGCGCAGAUAUCGGGAGGAACACCGGUGGCGAAGGCGGUUCUCUGGGCCUUACCUGACGCUGAGGAGCGAAAGCGUGGGGAGCGAACAGG
rnacentral:rRNA from 1 species